rnacentral:rRNA from 1 species
AUUGAACGCUGGCGGCAUGCCUUACACAUGCAAGUCGAACGGCAGCAUGAGCUAGCUUGCUAGAUUGAUGGCGAGUGGCGCACGGGUGAGUAAUAUAUCUGAACGAGCUCUGUAGCGGGGGAUAACUAGUCGAAAGAGUAGUUAAUACCGCAUACGACCUGAGGGGGAAAGUGGGGGAGCGCAAGGCCGCAUGCUAUAGGCGCGUCCGUUGUCCGAUUAGCUAGUUGGUGAGGUAAAGGCUCACCAAGGCGACGAUCAGUAGCUGGUCUGAGAGGACGAUCAGCCACACUGGGACUGAGACACGGCCCAGACUCCUACGGGAGGCAGCAGUGGGGAAUUUUGGACAAUGGGCGAAAGCCUGAUCCAGCAAUGCCGCGUGUGUGAUGAAGGCCUUCGGGUUGUAAAGCACUUUUGUCCGGAAAGAAAUGACUCUGGUUAAUCCCUGCGGUCGAUGACGGUACCGGAAGAAUAAGACCCGGCUAACUACGUG